rnacentral:rRNA from 1 species
AUUGAACGCUGGCGGCAGGCUUAACACAUGCAAGUCGAACGAGUGGCGGACGGGUGAGUAAUGCUUGGGAAUCUACCUUAUGGAGGGGGAUACCUACGGGAAACUGUAGCUAAUACCGCGUACCAUAGGAUGAGCCCAAGUGGGAUUAGGUAGUUGGUGAGGUAAAGGCUCACAAAGCCGACGAUCUCUAGCUGGUCUGAGAGGAUGACAAGCUACACUGGGACUGAGACACGGCCCAGACUCCGACGGGAGGAAGCAGUGGGGAAGAGUGCGCAAUGGGGGCAACCUGACGCAGCCAUGCCGCGUGAAUGAAGAAGGCCGUCGGGUUGUAAAGUUAUUUCGGUAGCGAGGCGUUAACUACAGAAGAAGCACCGGCUAACUCCGUGCUAGCAGCCGCGGUAAGAC